rfam:Salmo salar isolate Sally breed double haploid chromosome ssa10, whole genome shotgun sequence.
UGUGUUCUCUACUGUAAGUCGCUCUGGAUAAGAGUGUCUGCUAAAUGACUAAAA